rnacentral:lncRNA from 10 species
ACAGAAAAUAUGAAGGAAAAGAAAACUGCUGAAACAGGAUUGAAGUUCCUGAUCGUGUUGUUUUCUGUUGGUGUAUCUAAAAUGAACCCAAGAACACUUGUCAUCCAGGAACACACAUCGUGGAAGAAACAGAUGAAUGCAAGAUGCCUUGAGUGUUCACUGUUAAUUAUGAAGAAGUACUAAUAGAUGAUGUUUUGACUGGUGGGAGCAAGUUGAAGGCUGCUGACAGCAAUGAAGAAAAUUAUUUUUUUGGAAGAUGAGAAAGCCAUGGGAGAUGGGAAGAGCUGGAUGUUUCAGCUUGACAUGGGUUCAUUAGGCCUGGGGUGACAACUGAGUCAACACUCAAGAGG